UACGUAGGGUGCGAGCGUUGUCCGGAAUUAUUGGGCGUAAAGAGCUCGUAGGCGGUGUGUCACGUCGGCCGUGAAAACCUGCAGCUUAACUGUGGGCGUGCGGUCGAUACGGGCAUCACUGGAGUUCGGCAGGGGAGACUGGAAUUCCUGGUGUAGCGGUGAAAUGCGCAGAUAUCAGGAGGAACACCGGUGGGCGAAGGCGGGUCUCUGGGCCGUU
rnacentral:rRNA from 1 species